AGCUUGCUCCCGGAUGUUAGCGGCGGACGGGUGAGUAACACGUGGGUAACCUGCCUGUAAGACUGGGAUAACUCCGGGAAACCGGAGCUAAUACCGGAUAGUUCCUUGAACCGCAUGGUUCAAGGAUGAAAGACGGUUUCGGCUGUCACUUACAGAUGGACCCGCGGCGCAUUAGCUAGUUGGUGGGGUAAUGGCUCACCAAGGCGACGAUGCGUAGCCGACCUGAGAGGGUGAUCGGCCACACUGGGACUGAGACACGGCCCAGACUCCUACGGGAGGCAGCAGUAGGGAAUCUUCCGCAAUGGACGAAAGUCUGACGGAGCAACGCCGCGUGAGUGAUGAAGGUUUUCGGAUCGUAAAGCUCUGUUGUUAGGGAAGAACAAGUGCGAGAGUAACUGCUCGCACCUUGACGGUACCUAACCAGAAAGCCACGGCUAACUACGUGCCAGCAGCCGCGGUAAUACGUAGGUGGCAAGCGUUGUCCGGAAUUAUUGGGCGUAAAGGGCUCGCAGGCGGUUUCUUAAGUCUGAUGUGAAAGCCCCCGGCUCAACCGGGGAGGGUCAUUGGAAACUGGGAAACUUGAGUGCAGAAGAGGAGAGUGGAAUUCCACGUGUAGCGGUGAAAUGCGUAGAGAUGUGGAGGAACACCAGUGGCGAAGGCGACUCUCUGGUCUGUAACUGACGCUGAGGAGCGAAAGCGUGGGGAGCGAACAGGAUUAGAUACCCUGGUAGUCCACGCCGUAAACGAUGAGUGCUAAGUGUUAAGGGGGUUUCCGCCCCUUAGUGCUGCAGCUAACGCAUUAAGCACUCCGCCUGGGGGAGUACGGUCGCAAGACUGAAACUCAAAGGAAUUGACGGGGGCCCGCACAAGCGGUGGAGCAUGUGGUUUAAUUCGAAGCAACGCGAAGAACCUUACCAGGUCUUGACAUCCUCUGACAACCCUAGAGAUAGGGCUUUCCCUUCGGGGACAGAGUGACAGGUGGUUGCAUGGUUGUCGUCAGCUCGUGUCGUGAGAUGUUGGGGUUAAGUCCCGCAACGAGCGCAACCCUUGAUCUUAGUUGCCAGCAUUCAGUUGGGCACUCUUAAGGGGACUGCCCGGUGACAAACCGGAGGAAAGGUGGGGGAGGACGUCCAAAU
rnacentral:rRNA from 1 species